rnacentral:rRNA from 1 species
UACGUAGGGGGCUAGCGUUGUCCGGAAUCAUUGGGCGUAAAGCGCGUGUAGGCGGUUCGGUAAGUCCGCUGUGAAAGUCGGGGGCUCAACCCUCGGAUGCCGGUGGAUACUGUCGGGCUUGAGUACGGAAGAGGCGGGUGGAAUUCCUGGUGUAGCGGUGAAAUGCGCAGAUAUCAGGAGGAACACCAAUUGCGAAGGCAGCUCGCUGGGACGUUACUGACGCUGAGGUGCGAAAGCGUGGGGAGCAAACAGG